AGGAUGGGACUGCGACCGAUCAGGCUGUUGGCGGGGUAAUGGCCCACCAAACCAGUAACCGGUACGGGCUUUGAGAGAAGGAGCCCGGAGAUGGACACUGAGACAAGGGUCCAGGUCCUACGGGGCGCAGCAGGCGCGAAACCUUCGCAAUGUGCGAAAGCAUGACGAGGUUAAUCCGAGUGGCAUCCGCUGAGGAAGUCUUUUGCCGGCUCUAAAACGGCCGGUGAAUAAGGGGAGGGCAAGCCUGGUGUCAGCCGCCGCGGUAAUACCAGCUCCUCGAGUGGUCGGGGCGAUUAUUGGGCCUAAAGCAUCCGUAGCCGGUUCCGUAGGUCCUCUGUUAAAUCCAGCCGCUUAACGGUUGGCCUGCAGAGGAUACCGCGGGACUAGGAGGCGGGAGAGGCGGGCGGUACUCUACGUGUAGGGGUAAAAUCCUUUGAUCCGUAGAAGACCACCAGUGGCGAAGGCGGCCCGCCAGAACGCGCUCGACGGUGAGGGAUGAAAGCUGGGGGAGCGAACCGGAUUAGAUACCCGGGUAGUCCCAGCCGUAAACGAUGCGAGCUAGAUGAUCCAGUCGCAAAUCGCGAUUGGAGUGUCGCAGGGAAGCCGUUAAGCUCGCCGCCUGGGGAGUACGGUCGCAAGACUGAAACUUAAAGGAAUUGGC
rnacentral:rRNA from 1 species